rnacentral:rRNA from 1 species
GAUGAACGCUAGCGACAGGCUUAACACAUGCAAGUCGAGGGGCAGCGGGGUGUAGCAAUACAUUGCCGGCGACCGGCGCACGGGUGCGUAACGCGUAUGCAACCUUCCCACCAGACGGGUACAGCCCGGCGAAAGCCGGAUUAAUCCCCGAUGAAGCAGGGGCCCUGCAUGGGGCUAUUUGCUAAAGGUUCAUUCCGCUGGUGGAUGGGCAUGCGUUCCAUUAGGUAGUUGGGGGGGUAACGGCCCACCAAGCCAUCGAUGGAUAGGGGUUCUGAGAGGAAGGUCCCCCACACUGGUACUGAGACACGGACCAGACUCCUACGGGAGGCAGCAGUGAGGAAUAUUGGUCAAUGGGCGCAAGCCUGAACCAGCCAAGUCGCGUGGAGGACGACGGCCCUACGGGUUGUAAACUCCUUUUAUAUGGGAAUAAAGGAUCCUACGUGUAGGGUUUUGCAUGUACCAUUUGAAUAAGCAUCGGCUAACUCCGUGCCAGCAGCCGCGGUAAUACGGAGGAUGCGAGCGUUAUCCGGAUUUAUUGGGUUUAAAGGGUGCGUAGGUGGGUCCUUAAGUCGGCGGUGAAAUCCUGUCGCUCAACGAUGGCAUUACCGUCGAAACUGGGGACCUUGAGUAUGUUUGGGGCAGGCGGAAUGCGUGGUGUAGCGGUGAAAUGCUUAGAUAUCACGCAGAACCCCGAUCGCGAAGGCAGCUUGCCAAGCCAUUACUGACACUGAAGCACGAAAGCGUGGGUAUCAAACAGGAUUAGAUACCCUGGUAGUCCACGCCGUAAACGAUGAUGACUAGGGGUUUGCGAUAUACUGUAAGUCCUACAGCGAAAGCGUUAAGUCAUCCACCUGGGGAGUACGCCGGCAACGGUGAAACUCAAAGGAAUUGACGGGGGCCCGCACAAGCGGAGGAACAUGUGGUUUAAUUCGAUGAUACGCGAGGAACCUUACCCGGGUUUGAACGCAUUUUGACGUACUGGGAAACCGGUAUUCUAGCAAUAGCAAUUUGCGAGGUGCUGCAUGGUUGUCGUCAGCUCGUGCCGUGAGGUGUCGGCUUAAGUGCCAUAACGAGCGCAACCCUUACCGGUAGUUGCCAUCAAGUUAAGUUGGGGACUCUACCGGGACUGCCGGCGUAAGCUGUGAGGAAGGGGGGGAUGACGUCAAAUCAGCACGGCCCUUACAUCCGGGGCGACGCACGUGUUACAAUGGGGGGGACAGCGGGCAGCUUCGCGGCGACGCGUUGCCAAUCCCUUAAACCCCCUCUCAGUUCGGAUCGGAGCCUGCAACCCGGCUCCGUGAAGCUGGAUUCGCUAGUAAUCGCGCAUCAGCCAUGGCGCGGUGAAUACGUUCCCGGGCCUUGUACACACCGCCCGUCAAGCCAUGGAAGCUUGGGGAACCUGAAGUACGUUACCGCAAGGAUCGUCCUAGGGUAAAACGAGUAACUGGGGCU